AAAGUACUCCCUCCAUCCCAAAAUUCUUGUCUUAGAUUUGUCUAGAUACGGAUGUAUCAAGUCACAUUUUAGUAUUAGAUACAUCCGUAUCUAGACAAAUCUAAGACAAGAAAUUUGGGACAGAGGGAGUAGUUG
rfam:Triticum aestivum genome assembly, contig: Triticum_aestivum_CS42_TGACv1_scaffold_392481_5AS